UCAGGGCUCUAGACUGCGACCAUUUUUUUGAGACUGUGCGAGUAAAAAUUUGACGUGGUCGCACGUGUGCGAGUGCAUGGUCUGCGCAGCUCCAAACGUCUGCAGAGCCGCAGCACAUUGUAGCAGGAGUUUUUUAGAUUUCUCUGAUAACGUGAAGAGAGGCAUUUUCAGCGCGAGCGCUUUAGGUGUAGAGCCUGGUUUAUACUUGCUGCAUCAGCACGAGCACGAAGGUGCGCGCCACAGAUGGAGCACAAUGGAGGAUUUGGUUUCCAGCUAAAGUAAAAGACCGCUUCUUAAACCAGAGAAGUGUCCCUAAAGUCAUCUUCCACCCUGUUAGUAUGUACUCCCUCGCCUUCCAAAAUAGACUACAAUUUUCAGGAAGUGAUAUUGUUUAUUUUUUCCGCUGGAAUUCAACUGUACAAAUGGAAUUCCAUACAUUACAUAUGGCAAACCAUGCAGGACAAUGACGGAAAGCUCAUUUGCUGUUAGAACCUGUUAACACUGGUGUUCCACCCUGUUAUGCUCCGUUCCACCCUGUUGGACAAGUCAUUUUAAAUAAACAUUUGAAAGCAACAUUAAAUGUUUGGCAUACCUUUCUCUUAUUUUGUGAGGUGAGGAACAUUACCAGCAUAUAUAUGUUUUUGAGCAAAAUUGUUAUAUUAUUUACCAUCCUGUUGGCAAAAAUGGACACAAGAAAGUACCUGU